rnacentral:rRNA from 1 species
AGAGUUUGAUCAUGGCUCAGAUUGAACGCUGGCGGCAGGCCUAACACAUGCAAGUCGAGCGGUAACAGGAAGUAGCUUGCUACUUCGCUGACGAGCGGCGGACGGGUGAGUAAUGCCUGGGAAUAUGCCUUGAUGUGGGGGAUAACUAUUGGAAACGAUAGCUAAUACCGCAUAAUGCCUACGGGCCAAAGAGGGGGAUCUUCGGACCUCUCGCGUCAAGAUUAGCCCAGGUGGGAUUAGCUAGUUGGUGGGGUAAAGGCUCACCAAGGCGACGAUCCCUAGCUGGUCUGAGAGGAUGAUCAGCCACACUGGAACUGAGACACGGUCCAGACUCCUACGGGAGGCAGCAGUGGGGAAUAUUGCACAAUGGGGGAAACCCUGAUGCAGCCAUGCCGCGUGUAUGAAGAAGGCCUUCGGGUUGUAAAGUACUUUCAUCAGUGAGGAAGGUGGUGAUGCAAAUUCCAUCAUCAUUUGACGCUAGUUGCAGAAUUUUCUCGGUU